AUGCAACAAGGAGCUACAGCUGGCUCCUCCCCUGAAGCAGGCUUGAAUGUGGAGUAUGCUGGCUUUGAGGCUCAUCACAUACCAAACAGUAGUGUCUUUGGCGCCCAGCAUGCUCUAGAAGCGAAGCUGCUGAAAUUUACUAAUCAACAGUAUGCCUGUAUGGUCAUGAAUGGCCAGAAGUUUGAUUUACCUGAUAAUAUUGAUCGAUUGCGCGUUGAUCUCUGCUACAGAAAUGAUGGGUCAGCAGACUCUGAUGUUGAAACUGGCUGGAACUCACGUGCUGCAGCUAACAUCAAACUUGGGGAAACUGAAAUCGAAGUAAAGAAAUUUGUGUAUGCUCAUUGGGUGAAGUGGGUUUUCAAAAGGGAUGCUGAUGUGAUUAUUCACUAUCUAUCUAGUGGAAGAGAGAAGAAGGCAAGCAUCAUUCAGGAGAUAAGGAAGGAAAUCGAGGAGUUGAAGAAAACUCUGGCUCUGCGGAAGGAAGAGCUGAGGAAGCUCGAGCAGGACCACUGA
rnacentral:rRNA from 1 species